GACGAACGCUGGCGGCAUGCUUAACACAUGCCAGUCGAACGGAAAGGCCCUGCUUUUGUUGGGUGCUCGAGUGGCGAACGGGUGAGUAACACGUGAGUAACCUUCCCUUGACUUUGGGAUAACUUCAGGAAACUGGGGCUAAUACCGGAUAGGAGCUCCUGCUGCUUGGUGGGGGUUGGAAAGUUUCGGCGGUUGGGGAUGGACUCGCGGCUUAUCAGCUUGUUGGUGGGGUAGUGGCUUACCAAGGCUUUGACGGGUAGCCGGCCUGAGAGGGUGACAGGCCACAUUGGGACUGGGAUACGGGCCAGAGUCAUACGGGAGGAAGGGGUGGGGGACAUUGCAAGAAGGGCGGAAGCCUGAUGCAGCAACGCCGCGUGCGGGAUGACGGCCUUCGGGUUGGAAACCGCUUUCGCCUGUGACGAAGCGUGAGUGACGGUAAUGGGUAAAGAAGCAACGGCUAACUACGUG
rnacentral:rRNA from 1 species